rnacentral:rRNA from 1 species
AGAAUGAACGCUGGCGGCGUGCUUAACACAUGCAAGUCGAGCGAGGCCAGGGGGGCAACUCCCUGAGUCGAGCGGCGGACGGGUGAGUAACACGUGGGUAACCUACCCGGAAGUGGGGAAUACCUCGGGGAAACUCGAGCUAAUACCGCAUAACAUCUCGAGGACGAAAGUUCUUGUGAUCAAAGCGGGGCCGCAAGGCCUCGUGCUACCGGAUGGGCCCGCGCCCGAUUAGCUAGUUGGCGAGGUAAUGGCUCACCAGGGCGACGAUC